rnacentral:rRNA from 1 species
GACGAACGCUGGCGGCGUGCUUAACACAUGCCAGUCGAACGGAAAGGCCCUGCUUUUGUGGGGUGCUCGAGUGGCGAACGGGUGAGUAACACGUGAGUAACCUGCCCUUGACUUUGGGAUAACUUCAGGAAACUGGGGCUAAUACCGGAUAGGAGCUCCUGCUGCAUGGUGGGGGUUGGAAAGUUUCGGCGGUUGGGGAUGGACUCGCGGCUUAUCAGCUUGUUGGUGGGGUAGUGGCUUACCAAGGCUUUGACGGGUAGCCGGCCUGAGAGGGUGACCGGCCACAUUGGGACUGAGAUACGGCCCAGACUCCUACGGGAGGCAGAAGUGGGGAAUAUUGCACAAUGGGCGGAAGCCUGAUGCAGCAACGCCGCGUGCGGGAUGACGGCCUUCGGGCUGUAAACCGCUUUCGCCUGUGACGAAGCGUAAGUGACGGUAAUGGGUAAAGAAGCACCGGCUAACUACGUG